rnacentral:tRNA from 1 species
CAAAUUAUAGCUUUUAGAAAGUGUCAUUGCUUACAUUAAUGAUUUAAUCGUGCAAUUCGAUUUAAUUUGA